rnacentral:rRNA from 1 species
GAUGAACGCUGGCGGCGUGCCUAAUACAUGCAAGUCGAGCGAACGGACGAGAAGCUUGCUUCUCUGAUGUUAGCGGCGGACGGGUGAGUAACACGUGGAUAACCUACCUAUAAGACUGGGAUAAUUUCGGGAAACCGGAGCUAAUACCGGAUAAUAUUUUGAACCGCAUGGUUCAAAAGUGAAAGACGGUCUUGCUGUCACUUAUAGAUGGAUCCGCGCUGCAUUAGCUAGUUGGUAAGGUAACGGCUUACCAAGGCAACGAUGCAUAGCCGACCUGAGAGGGUGAUCGGCCACACUGGAACUGAGACACGGUCCAGACUCCUACGGGAGGCAGCAGUCGGGAAUCUUCCGCAAUGGGCGAAAGCCUGACGGAGCAACGCCGCGUGAGUGAUGAAGGUCUUCGGAUCGUAAAACUCUGUUAUUAGGGAAGAACAUAUGUGUAAGUAACUGUGCACAUCUUGACGGUACCUAAUCAGAAAGCCACGGCUAACUACGUG